rnacentral:miRNA from 1 species
GCAGACACAUUCCAGCCAAUCAGCAGCAGACCCUCCCUCCCACACCCUGCCACCUCCUGGACAGCAUCCAUUUUGAAGCUGCAUUCUUAGUGAGCUGUCCAAGAGGUGGGAGGGUCUGGGAGGGAGGGUCUGCUGCUGAUUGGCUGGAAUGUGUCUG